rnacentral:rRNA from 1 species
CAUGCAGUCGAACGGCAGCGGGAAAGUAGCUUGCUACUUUUGCCGGCGAGUGGCGAACGGGUGAGUAAUGUAUCGGAACGUGCCCAGUAGCGGGGGAUAACUACGCGAAAGCGUGGCUAAUACCGCAUACGCCCUACGGGGGAAAGGGGGGGAUCUUAGGACCUCUCACUAUUGGAGCGGCCGAUAUCGGAUUAGCUAGUUGGUGGGGUAAAGGCCUACCAAGGCGACGAUCCGUAGCUGGUUUGAGAGGACGACCAGCCACACUGGGACUGAGACACGGCCCAGACUCCUACGGGAGGCAGCAGUGGGGAAUUUUGGACAAUGGGGGAAACCCUGAUCCAGCCAUCCCGCGUGUGCGAUGAAGGCCUUCGGGUUGUAAAGCACUUUUGUCAGGGAARAAAAGGUUUCGGAUAAUACCCGGAACUGAUGACGGUACCUGAAGAAUAAGCACCGGCUAACUACGUGCCAGCAGCCGCGGUAAUACGUAGGGUGCAAGCGUUAAUCGGAAUUACUGGGCGUAAAGCGUGCGCAGGCGGUUCGGAAAGAAAGAUGUGAAAUCCCAGGGCUCAACCUUGGAACUGCAUUUUUAACUACCGAACUAGAGUAUGUCAGAGGGGGGUGGAAUUCCACGUGUAGCAGUGAAAUGCGUAGAUAUGUGGAGGAACACCGAUGGCGAAGGCAGCCCCCUGGGAUAAUACUGACGCUCAUGCACGAAAGCGUGGGGAGCAGACAGGAUUAGAUACCCUGGUAGUCCACGCCCUAAACGAUGUCAACUAGCUGUUGGGCCCUUCGGGGCUUAGUAGCGCAGCUAACGCGUGAAGUUGACCGCCUGGGGAGUACGGUCGCAAGAUUAAAACUCAAAGGAAUUGACGGGGACCCGCACAAGCGGUGGAUGAUGUGGAUUAAUUCGAUGCAACGCGAAAAACCUUACCUACCCUUGACAUGUCUGGAAUCCUGAAGAGAUUUAGGAGUGCUCGCAAGAGAACCGGAACACAGGUGCUGCAUGGCUGUCGUCAGCUCGUGUCGUGAGAUGUUGGGUUAAGUCCCGCAACGAGCGCAACCCUUGUCAUUAGUUGCUACRUUUAGUUGAGCACUCUAAUGAGACUGCCGGUGACAACCGGAGGAAGGUGGGGAUGACGUCAGUCCUCUGGCCCUUAUGGGUAGGCUUCMMCGUCAACAUGGUCGGGAMGAGGUUGCCAACC